rnacentral:rRNA from 1 species
UGCUGGAGGUAUCAGAAGUGCGAAUGCUGACAUAAGUAACGAUAAAGCGGGUGAAAAGCCCGCUCGCCGGAAGACCAAGGGUUCCUGUCCAACGUUAAUCGGGGCAGGGUGAGUCGACCCCUAAGGCGAGGCCGAAAGGCGUAGUCGAUGGGAAACAGGUUAAUAUUCCUGUACUUGGUGUUACUGCGAAGGGGGGACGGAGAAGGCUAUGUUGGCCGGGCGACGGUUGUCCCGGUUUAAGCGUGUAGGCUGGUUUUCCAGGCAAAUCCGGAAAAUCAAGGCUGAGGCGUGAUGACGAGGCACUACGGUGCUGAAGCGACAAAUGCCCUGCUUCCAGGAAAAGCCUCUAAGCAUCAGGUAACAUUAAAUCGUACCCCAAACCGACACAGGUGGUCAGGUAGAGAAUACCAAGGCGCUUGAGAGAACUCGGGUGAAGGAACUAGGCAAAAUGGUGCCGUAACUUCGGGAGAAGGCACGCUGAUAUGUAGGUGAAGCGACUUGCUCGUGGAGCUGAAAUCAGUCGAAGAUACCAGCUGGCUGCAACUGUUUAUUAAAAACACAGCACUGUGCAAACACGAAAGUGGACGUAUACGGUGUGACGCCUGCCCGGUGCCGGAAGGUUAAUUGAUGGGGUUAGCGGUAACGCGAAGCUCUUGAUCGAAGCCCCGGUAAACGGCGGCCGUAACUAUAACGGUCCUAAGGUAGCGAAAUUCCUUGUCGGGUAAGUUCCGACCUGCACGAAUGGCGUAAUGAUGGCCAGGCUGUCUCCACCCGAGACUCAGUGAAAUUGAACUCGCUGUGAAGAUGCAGUGUACCCGCGGCAAGACGGAAAGACCCCGUGAACCUUUACUAUAGCUUGACACUGAACAUUGAGCCUUGAUGUGUAGGAUAGGUGGGAGGCUUUGAAGUGUGGACGCCAGUCUGCAUGGAGCCGACCUUGAAAUACCACCCUUUAAUGUUUGAUGUUCUAACGUGGGCCCCUUACCGGGGUUGCGGACAGUGUCUGGUGGGUAGUUUGACUGGGGCGGUCUCCUCCUAAAGAGUAACGGAGGAGCACGAAGGUUGGCUAAUCCUGGUCGGACAUCAGGAGGUUAGUGCAAUGGCAUAAGCCAGCUUGACUGCGAGCGUGACGGCGCGAGCAGGUGCGAAAGCAGGUCAUAGUGAUCCGGUGGUUCUGAAUGGAAGGGCCAUCGCUCAACGGAUAAAAGGUACUCCGGGGAUAACAGGCUGAUACCGCCCAAGAGUUCAUAUCGACGGCGGUGUUUGGCACCUCGAUGUCGGCUCAUCACAUCCUGGGGCUGAAGUAGGUCCCAAGG